AACUGGUUUCUUUUUAGCCUUUUUCUCUCUCUCUACAAUAAAACAUACUCUUCCUCUCUCUCUCUCCACACCGUAACCCUAAUUUCGCGGUUCUAAAUGGCGGCGGCGGCUGGUCGGGAAAGUAACGAGAGGCUGUAUGAAGACCGAGGAGGCUACGGGAAGUUUCGAAAACGGCCGUUUCGAAGGAGUACGCAGACGACGCCGUAUGAUCGUCCUUCGACGGCAAUUCGAAACCCUGGCGGGAUUAGUAAUGGUUGGUUGUCGAAAUUAGUGGAUCCGGCUCAGAGACUCAUUGCUUCUAGCGCACACAGGCUUUUCGCCUCUGUCUUUCGAAAACGGCUACCUGCGCCGCCGGUGGUAACUCCUCGGUCGCAGCCUCCGGAGACGGAGCGGGAGACAGACGUGAACCCGGGAGCAUUGGAUAAGCCAAAGGGAAUGUCUUCCACAGAUUGUCUUGAAGUGCAUAGAGAAGCCAUCAAUGCAAGCAGUGGUCUGAUUAAUAGUUUCGAUAGAGGUGGGGUCACUGAACUCGAAUUAAUUCUAAAGCAGAAGACCUUUACCAGGUCUGAGAUUGAUCGAUUGACAGCUCUGCUGCAAUCCAGGACUGCUGAUUUUCCAACUGGUAAUGAAGAGAAAAAACCUGAAGUGAUUUCUUCAAGAGCCAUGGUCUCUGAAGGCAAAAAGGAGUUAUUGACUGUUCCCGUUACUAAUGGGUUUGAGAGCCGCAUUAAUUCAACACCUAUUGUCUGCUCAAGUGUCGUCAAUGAGGAUGUUGCUUCACCUACAGAGCUUGCAAAAGCUUACAUGGGUAGUAGGCCUUCAAAAGUAUCACCAUCAAUGCUAGAAUCACGCUGCCAGCCAUUUCGGGAUAAUUCAACAGCUCUGAUCAACCAUACAUUCACUCCAAAAUCACCAAUGAUGUCACUCACGCCACGUUCUUCUGGCUGUCCUGGGGUUCCUGAGAAUUAUUUUGUGACACCAAGGUCUCGAGGCAGAUCUGCUAUAUACAAUAUGGCUCGAACACCAUACUCCAGAGUUCAUGCAUCUACUCGCCUCCAGGGUGCCGGAACAUCAAGUGAUGCUUUCGCUGGACCUUCAUUUUCAUCUCAGAAUGCAUUGGAGAGCAGCAGAUUUUCUGGAUCUAAACAAGGGGCUUUAAAACGGAGGAGUUCUGUCCUGGAUAAUGAUAUAGGAUCUGUUGGUCCCAUACGUAGAAUUCGUCAGAAAUCAAACCUUCUGCCUACCUCUGGAACCCUUUCUAUUCGCGGAGCUGGUAUCGGCUCUAAUGCUGCUCAAAAACUACCCUCAACAGAGAAGCCAGUUUUAGUGGGUGAACCAUCAAAGGAUAAUGGGGAUAACAAUGUCUAUGGUACUACUUUUACCCCUGUUCCCUCCAAGUCAAGUGAGAUGGCAUCAAAGAUAUUGCAUCAGCUGGAUGUGUUGGUCUCAUCAAGGGAGAAGUCUCCUGCCAAGUUGUCACCAUCCAUGCUACGGGGACCAGCUCUUAGAAGCCUGGAGAAUGUAGAUUCUUCAAAGUUUGUAGAAAUUGAUAAUGAUACUAACAAGUUAGCCUUGAAACAUGAUACCUUGUUACCUGAUGCAAGAGAGUCUGUGUCACAAAAGCAAGACAAAAUUGAAGAAAAGGGUCCUAGCAAACCCAUUGCUCCAUGUGGCAAGUCAGCCUUGGCAGGAAAUGGUAUGGAUACCACAAGUUUAUUGAAGAAUGAUUUGGCUGGGGUCAAAACAUCAGCUUUUCCUGUGAUGAGCACCUUUGCUCAGGCUCCUGUACAAAAGAAAAGGGCUUUCCAGAUGAGCGCACAAGAGGAUUUUCUGGAGCUUGAUGAUGAUGACUACUCUAAUGGGACUGCAUCUGGUAUGUUGGCUGAAGGGAGAGAAAAGGUGGAUACCAAAUUGGUAGAAAAGAAGACCAUUGUUGCUGAGGCUGUUGUAGUGGAGAAGUCUCCGGUCCAAUCUGAAGUCAACUCCCCAUCAAGUUAUACAUUGAACAAAAAAAAUGCAGGGAUUGAUGGGUCUGUGGUUGUGGAAAAGAGCAUUGGCUUUAUUUCCCCAGCAGCACCUCUGCCUACCAUUACUGAUAAGCAGGCUGCGGUAAACAAGUUAGAAUCAAUAUCUGAUGAAGUUGCCCUACCAAAGUAUUCGAAUGCUUUGCCCCAAAUAUUUAGCACCGCUGAGAAGGUUGCUUUGCCAAAGGAACCAAAUGGCACCUCUCAAUUUUUCCAUUUUAGCAAUAGAACUGGUGAUAAAGCUGCACCACUCACACUUACCUCAGUCAUGAGUGACCCAUCUGGCCAAAAGUUGGGUGUAUCAUCUGAUGCUGGACCAAAGGGUUUCAGCUUUACACCUAUUGCUACUGGUGCUACUGAGUUGGUGACAAGAGAUCCUGGAUUAGAUAAAGGUGAUGAUAAGGACAGUUUGAAGAUCGGAAACUCAUUCAGGACAGCUGAAAAUGUGCCUUCUACAUCAAUUUCAUCAAAUGGAAGCCUAUUCUCAUUUGGCAUCACCUCCAAUAGUUCAAGUCUAAAUAAUGGAUUUCUUGCUUCUACUACCCCAUCUUCAUUUUCCUCUCCCAGUCUGCCUCUAUUUUCCAGUAACUUAACUGGUCAAAAAUCAUCUAGCAUCCCUUCCAACAGUGUUGCUAGCAGCAGUACUAAUGCCACUACCACUGCUUUCACAGCUGCAAGCACUAAUGGGAAUAGCAACUUCUCUGUUUCAGCAUCGGCAUCAGAACCUACCUUGACAGCUGCAUCUAUUUUUAAAUUUGGGACUGUCUCAUCAAAUUCAGUCUUAACAGUACCAUCAAUUACUACUGAAACAACAGAAGUCAAGACCAAAGAAACAAGUUUUAGUGCUUCUAGUGGCACAUCCUCUGCAAUGACAAGCACAACUGGCAGCAUUUUUGGUGGUACUUCUGCAAUCACGAAUGCAGGCAAUAAUAUUUUUGGUGAUACCACUGCAGUUACUGGCAAAGAAAAUAGUGUUUUUGGUGGUACAUCCCCUGCAGUUACAAGUACAGAAAGUAGUGUUUUGAAUGCCACAUCUGCAGUUAUGAGCACAGGAAGUGGUCCUUUUAACUUCAAUGCUGGGAGCACAACUUCAGCUGCUACUAAUCAAUCUCAGGGUUUUAAUCCUUUUAAUGCUGGCACUACUCAGGUUUCUGCUGCUGGAACUGGUUUGGCAACUUCAACACAGAGUAUGCCGAUGCAAUUUAGUUCACCUGCAUCAACUGCGAGUUCAGCCUUCUCUUCUGGCAGUUCCACAUUUGGUUAUGUGAAUACAGCCUUCUCUUCUGGCAGUUCCACAUUUGGUUCCUCUACAUCUAAAUUGUUAAGUUCUGGUACUACGUUUGGACUUAACUCUUCCACUUCCGAGUCCAGCUCUGUUAGCUCCAUGGCGAGCCCCGCAUCUGCUGUAUUUGGUUCCAACUGGCAGGCACCGAAAUCUACUGGAUUUAGUUCCACACCAUCCUCUUCUUCCUCAACGUUGUUUGCCUUCGGAGCAACUUCUAAUACUGGUACGAGCAGUGCACCCAUGGUGUUUGGAUCAACCUCUAGUGUCUCAUCUGCUCCCCCUUUCCCCUUCAGUUCACCUGCAUCUGCUACUCCAUCACAGUCUGUGUUCGGUGCCCCAAAUCCUAGCUUCGGAUUUGGUUCUUCAUCUGGUAAUAAUGACCAAAUGAGCAUGGAGGACAGCAUGGCAGAGGACACAGUUCAGGCAACCGCGCCUUCAGUUUCUGUAUUUAGCCAACAACCAACUGCACCUGGCUCAAUUUUUGGUUUUUCAGCUCCAUCGGGUGGGAAUCAGUUUGGUUCUACAGGUCCACCAGGUGCAAAUCCCUUUCAAUUUGGAAGCCAACCAAAUCUUGCUGCUCCGCAGAACCCAUCUUUUCAAGCUUCAGGUAGUCUAGAGUUUAAUGCUGGAGGAAGCUUCUCAUUGGGAACAGGUGGCGGUGACAAGUCCCAUAGAAAAUUUGUCAGAGUCAAAAAAACACAGCGCAAGCGGUAAAGACACCUAGGAACUCCGGUUUGGUUUUGUUGUGUAAUUUCCUGGUUAUUCGUGGCAGACAAGUAAUUAUAAUGAUGAGAGAUACACAGCAUGAUUUGCUGUUUCCGAGGUCACUCAUUGAUAUUUUGGUGACAAAGGUAAACCUGCCUUCUCAGGCACCAGAAUAUGUCUUUACAGUUCCCCUUUCCCUCAGGACGAUGGUGGAAAGGUGGGCUUAUGUUGUUGCAACUUUGUACUGUCUUCUUAGCAAACCUAGGAAAUUUUACCAUGUACUCCCUAGUGGUAGCUCAUAGGAUUAUAGUUGGGUAAAUUUGCUUGUGACCAUGUUCUCUGUAGUCUGUACUCUAUCACUUGUAACAUAAACAGCAAAUCAUAUCGAUUUGUUUAAGAAAGUGUCUUGUUCUGAGCAUCAGAUAUUUCCAAUAAUCAUUGUUUUAUCUCA